UUUGACAAGUUCGCUUUUAAAGAGUAAAAAAAAGCAUCUUUUAUACCUUUUGCCACAGGUGAUCAUGGUGCGUUGGCAAUAGUUCCCAAUCAACGCAGAAUUUGACCGGAAAUGAUUAGAGCCUUUUGGUGGAACGCAAAACGAACGAUGGGAGCAGAGUUGAAAGAUUCUUAAGUUGAUAAAAACGUGAUUUUUUUCAUUUCAGCAAUCUAUUUAUGGACCCUACGGGGAUCCGAAGGGUCUCAUUCAAUGCCCCUCUACCAGUUCUACUAGGUCGAGUUUAGUAUUUGGAAAUUAUGCAUUUUUUGAAUUAAUUGCAAUUUAUAAGUCCCUGAAAAUCUACUCUUAGGGCUAGCUCAGGUCCAGGAUGAUUUAGCUUCUAAAGAAAUAUGUGUUUUUGAUUGAAAUUUAGCUUGGAUGCCUACUUUUGAGACCACCGAACCGAUCAUUCUAUAAAUCUCGGGGGAGAUUAAGAUUUUCAAAGGUAACAAAUGUGUUUCUUUGUAAUAGCCCAAAUAAGAAUCUGAAAUUUUUGUUUUAAUUUUAUUUCCGAAUCCAGACCAAAAUGGAAAACGAAGUGUUAGAAAAGUUUUUUUUCAUGAGGAGAGUCGGCAGAGCAGGCAAGAGAUAUGAAACGGUUUGCUUAGUCUCAUUUCCAGCCCAAAAGAAGUUAAAGUAAAAGUUUUGUCAACACACACCAGCCCGGCCCGGCUCUGAUGAUAUGCAAGCUCCAGUCAGCCUCCAAAGUCCGUCUCCACCGCAGAGAAGGGGAAAAGAUCGACCCCGGGACAAGUGACAGGUAAGUAAGACUCGAUUUUGAGAUGCAAGGGGUGAAGAGAGAGAGAGAGAGAGAGAGAGAGAGAGAGAGAGGCCCAUCCACCAUAUCUUCCCCUUAAAUCCUGAUCCCACUUCGCAAUUUCCAGCCGAAAAUCGCCAAAAUCCAGCUGCAACAAAUUCACCGUCUUUUCUAGCUGAUAUUUUAAUUAGAAUGCAAGAAUUAAGUUGAGUAACCAACCACAGCUGAAGAGAGCUCCCAAGUGAUGUGUAGCAGGCCUAAUGUUAAAAAAAGAUAACCAAAUUUCCACUUGCACUUUUUAAAAUAGGCAAAGUUCGGCUACAGAAACACUACUUCACACAAGAUUAUUUUUGGUCUUGCCAGUGACCAUGAGAUUUUCCGCGAAUUUUCGGCAGUUGCGCGAGUUUUGACAAAUACUAUUUUAACUCCGAAAGAGACGUCGAAACGUGUAUUUUCUUGAUUCCAGAUUUAAUUCGUCAGCAAAUCUGUCUAUUGGGGUGUAAAAAUCCACCAUUGAUUAAUUAAAGCAGAAAUGGCAAAGACCCCUCUUUUAUAGAAAAAGAGAUUUGCAAGUUUUCGCAAAUCGCUCAAAUCCAUUUGAAACAGAGACCGAAAAUGAUCGCAAAUCGAGCUGAAAAACGAACCAAAACUGGCAAAAAAUGAAAAGGAUGAAUUCGGCCUUGCUUAAAUUUAAAAACCAUGCGAUGCUUUGGUACAAUAUCGAUCGUGGCUGUUGGCAAGGUGAUCAAAUUAAUUCACGAGGGCCAUUUGUAGCCAUUUACACUCACCGGUUCGCGGCUUUCCUGGAUUUACUGCUCCGAAAGCACGUCUCCGGCGCCGCGCAAACCGGACAGUCCGACGACACAACACUCGCCCUGCACUCUUUUAAUAUUUUUUCGGCACUGCACUCGCGACAAACACCUGAAAAUCCGUCUGAAAACACUCGAAUGUCCUGGCGCACAGAAAGCAAGACUGGAAACUGAAAAAGUAUGCAGAAAAACAGCUGCAUGAUGAUUGGCCGCUGCGAUCAGCCGGUGAACCGAUCGACCAAUCGCGUGAGCCGUCUCCAAACUGGCGCGAAACGAGCGCAAGCACUGCACCCGGUGACGUCACAAGUCACAACGCAACAUGGAAAUGCGGCAAAACAUGCAUUAAUUUUGCAAAUAUAAUAAAAUGGGAGGGAAACCAAAUUUAAGCAAAUUAAAUGGAUCGAUUUCAGACACUUUGCUAAAUUUUUGGAAGGGAAUUGCAGGUUUAAUUUUUUCAAAAAUUUGUUACUCCAAGCAGAACUGAUAUCUAUGCACGUAAAAAAUUGCCCUAAUUUCGUUUCCAUGCCAAUGAAACGUUAAUGUUACCUUUUCCAAAUAUUUAAUUUUUGAAAUUUAUGUGUCUUGUAAUUAAUUCUUCCGUAUUUGCGCGGUUUCUUAAUUUCAGUAAAUAAUUUUGUCGGUGUGUUCGCUUGGUCAGUACAACAUUGUUAUUUAAAAAAUAAAAUGAUAUGCAUAAAUUUUAUCCAUUCCGAAAUUUAGAUCAGUCACAAUUGACUCUUGAAAUGCGCAACCUGCGGUUUUUUAUAAUAAAAAAUAAUUUAAACUUGCGAUUGAACCGAUUUUUAUUUGUCCUCUUUCGAUUAAUUUUUUUGUGAUUUUUUUUCUUUUCAAAAUAAAACUGGCAUUUUUUAGUUUAAUAGACCAGAUGAUAUGCGUUAAAAAUAAAUUUGAACUCAUUUUAAUUAAAAUUUCCUUAGCUAAAAUCUCAUAGGAAUGUAGUUAAUUUCUAAAAUUGUCUGCCGCGAGAGGGAGUGUUGAAGAAGUGCAGCCGAGAUCAAAUUAAUUAUUUGAAAUGGGUUGAAACUAAAGAAAAGUCGAGAUUUUGGUCAUUCAUCGCGAUUAAUUUUAUUUUUGAGGGGUGGAUUAGGGGUGAGAAUGGGUGAAUCACAGACAUGGAAGGUGGUGUCCCUGGAGACUGGAGAGAAGAGGCGGCACUCGGCCUCGCUCGGCUUACAGCUGGCGGCGCGAGUCGCGGAGAAGCGGCGCGACGCCUGCUUCCGCGCCACGACGCUGCAACACGAGACCAUAAUUAAAAUUGAAACUAAUCUAAGACGUUAAAAACAUCCUACCCUAAAUCAGGGUAUACAAAGAUUGAUUCUUUCGAAGAAAUAUUUUUAAAAAAGAAAUAAAAUUCUGAACAAUUUAAAGGGUAUUUAGCCUGAGAUCAGGAGAUGGGAACUUUUAGCGUGAAGGUAAGUGAAUUUGGAUUAGUUAACCUGAAGGUUGUGUCGUCAGUGUUGCUGGAGGUGCGCACCUGGCGCGAAGAAUACGACUUGCAGCCGCUCGACACCGACGUCUCGGACGAAAAGGUGGAGUUGCCGUGCUGCUGCUCAACCUCCGAGUCGCUGCCCAGGGUGCCCUUUUCUUCGCACCUUGCUCCACCUCCUGCUUCUGCCAAUCAGGGUCAACCCUCGUCAGCUCAGCGACCUCCUCCUGCAUCAGCGCAUAUUUCUGCAAAUUAAAAAUAUUUUUCAGGGUUGGUUUUUCAAUUUUUGGUUUAAAAUGCUGUUUUGGCAAAUUUAACACCUUAUAAAUCGGGAUUUUGAUUACUUGGAAAGCUGAAAAUUGGCAUGGCUAGAGAAAACCAACCAGAUAUUAAACUCAGAAGGUUUCAGACCUCUCAGGUUGGUAAGACAAUUUUUAUUCACAGUUUAAAAUCGUGAAACACGAGUUUUUUCGCCUCCAUUUCCACCAAAUCAGCAUUUUUAAACCCUUAUAAAAGGAGCCCUGAGAGGAAUAGAGGUCUGAAACUUCGUUUGUUGGUUAAACUGCACCCUGAUAUCAGGUUAAAGUGAUUUUAAAUUAACUACAUACUUUUAUUAAAUUAAAAUAAUAAUAAUUUUAAAAACGCAAAAAACGACAUUUCAACAUUUUCUAUUUUAAUAGAAAUAUUGCCACCUGAACACGGCCGACUUUCCGACGUCGACGACCUGAUGCUGAGGCUGGAUGUGGGCCGGAAGCGGCGCCGUCAUCGUCGGCGCCACCUGCACCGUCUCCUCGCCAGCCGAAUUAUUCACUCAGCACAAAAACUUUCCACGGUCAGGGUAAACCGCACCUUUUAGAUUAAUAAGAGACCUGGCGCCACCAGGGAGAGUCGCUGACCUACGGCCACCGGCAGCAAUUGCUCGCGGUCCUCAAGGAGAGAAGCAUAUUUUUGCUAUCGGAGAGGAGCUUGGCAGGAGAGAAAAAAGGCAGCAGGAAAGUGGCAGCUGGAAUAAAAAGCAGCGAUCGACGAGAGGAGACACGAAGAGAAUAUGUCGCGAUGAAUAAUUUUGAAGGAAGCAAGUGCAACCGCCUAUAUGAAUUAAGGUGGUACCUUGAGGACGAGGACCGCGAGCAUCAAUUGCUGCCGGUGGCCGUAGGUCAGCGACUUUCCCUGGUGCCGCCAGGUCUUUUAAGAAUCUCAAAGGUUCGUCUGGAGGACCGCGGAAAGUUUUAGCGCUGGCUGAAUAAUUCGGCUGGCGAGGAGACGGUUCAGGUGGCGCCGACAAUGACGGUGCCGCUUCUGGUCCACGUCCAACCUCAGGAUCAGAUCGUCGACGUCGGAAAGGCGGCCGUGUUCAGACACGUGAUUAGCUGUUGCGUGAGGAGCUCGCUGACCUGUCGAGGGUUGACCCUGAUCGGCACAAGCAGGAAGCAGCCUUUGGGCCCUCCGAUCCGGCUCGACACGUCCUCAGCAGACAGACCUCCGGUCCGGCGGCCGCCUCGGCGAGAUAUUCGCGCCGCACGCGUUUUUGCUUCGCUUCUUUUGAAUUAUGUUGAAAAAACCCUGAGCGGAUGUUGAACAAUUGCGAAAAGUUUCACUGGAAUCGAUCUCAGGAUGCGGUAACCUGUCAAAGGUCAUCAGUAUAUAAAUUUUUUGGCUAUUUCUUAAAAUUAUUUUUAUAAUCUGUGUUUGUAAUAUUUUAAUCGCACGCGUAAUUAAAUUUUAGAUAAUUUUCUAGUUAAUAAUGCAAGUUUGUCGUGUUUCAAGGAAGGAAAUCACAAAUUACAGCUAAAAAUCCGGUUGUUAAAUUGAUCAAUACAAAUAAAUACACGUAUUAAAGAAUUUAGAUAAAGGCUUAAUUAAUUACCAUCGACUCUUUCA